rnacentral:rRNA from 1 species
GAUGAACGCUGGCGGCGUGCCUAAUACAUGCAAGUCGAGCGAACAGACGAGGAUCUUGCUCCUCUGCCGUUAGCGGCGGACGGGUGAGUAACACGUGGAUAACCUACCUAUAAGACUGGGAUAACUUCGGGAAACCGGAGCUAAUACCGGAUCAUAUAUUGAACCGCAUGGUUCAAUAGUGAAAGACGGUUUUGCUGUCCCUUAUACAUGGAUCCGCGCCGCAUUAGCUAGUUGGUAAGGUAACGGCUUACCAAGGCGACGAUGCGUAGCCGACCUGAGAGGGUGAUCGGCCACACUGGAACUGAGACACGGUCCAGACUCCUACGGGAGGCAGCAGUAGGGAAUCUUCCACAAUGGGCGAAAGCCUGACGGAGCAACGCCGCGUGAGUGAUGAAGGUCUUCGGAUCGUAAAACUCUGUUAUUAGGGAAGAACAAAUGUGUAAGUAACUAUGCACGUCUUGACGGUACCUAAUCAGAAAGCCACGGCUAACUACGUG